rnacentral:misc_RNA from 1 species
GAUGAAGAACGUAGCGAAAUGCGAUAAGUAAUGCGAAUUGCAGAAUUCAGUGAGUCAUCGAAUCUUUGAACGCACAUUGCGCCCUUUGGUAUUCCGAAGGGCAUGCCUGUUCGAGCGUCAUUAUCAACCCUCAAGCCUGGCUUGUUGUUGGACCUCACCUCGUCAAGAGAUGGGCCCAAAAGGCAAUGGCGGCGUCGUGAUCGACUCCCGGUGCAACGAGCUUUGUAGCACGCACGGUGCCGGUCGGUUCGGCCCGGUCUCAAAUAUGUUAUUUCUCAAGGUUGACCUCGGAUCAGGUAGGAAUACCCGCUGAACUUAAGCAUAUCAAUAAGCGGAGGA